CAGUGUCAGAGUGGAGAAAGGUGCAUGGGAUUGAUCAAACCAGUGCAUUAUCUCCGAUCGAAAUCUCUAAACUGAAGGAGACAUUAGGUAUAGCUCCAUACCUCAGUGAUAAAGCUUGUCAGAGAUAUAACUCUCCAUACAGCCCACCACUCAAUGGAUGGAGAACAGAAUGUAGUACCCACAUGUCUGAAUUGAAGACUCUACCAUUCAAUAUAAACUGUUAUAUUGACCAAACCUGUACAGAUGUCUUAUGUUGUAUGGAUAUAGGACUGCUCAGUACCUCAAUGGAAGCAGAAGUCAAGAUCGAUCCAUGUGACUUCAUGUUGACUGUCAGGAUAGAAAAGUUGACCUUUGAACUGACCUUAUUUGAUUACCAGUGGGGAAAACAAGAAUAUUUUGACUUGUAUGGAGUAAUGCU